UACAGAGGUCUCAAGCGUUGUUCGGAUUCAUUGGGCGUAAAGGGUGUGUAGGUGGCGCCGUAAGUCGGGUGUGAAAUUUCGGAGCUUAACUCCGAAACUGCAUUCGAUACUGCGGUGCUUGAGGACUGGAGAGGAGACUGGAAUUCAUGGUGUAGCAGUGAAAUGCGUAGAGAUCCGGAGGAACACCAGUGGCGAAGGCGACACGCUGGGCCGUACCUGACACUGAUGCGCGACAGCAUGGGGAGCAAACAGG
rnacentral:rRNA from 1 species